UACGGGGGGGGCAAGCGUUGUUCGGAAUUACUGGGCGUAAAGGGCUCGUAGGCGGCCAACUAAGUCAGACGUGAAAUCCCUCGGCUUAACCGGGGAACUGCAUCUGAUACUGGAUGGCUUGAGAUUGGGAGAGGGAUGCGGAAUUCCAGGUGUAGCGGUGAAAUGCGUAGAUAUCGGGAGGAACACCAGUGGCGAAGGCGACUACCUGGCCUGUUCUUGACGCUGAGACGCGAAAGCUAGGGGAGCAAACGGG
rnacentral:rRNA from 1 species